rnacentral:rRNA from 1 species
GGGGAAUAUUGGACAAUGGGGGCAACCCUGAUCCAGCCAUGCCGCGUGAGUGAUGAAGGCCUUAGGGUUGUAAAGCUCUUUCACCGGGGAAGAUAAUGACGGUACCCGGAGAAGAAGCCCCGGCUAACUUCGUGCCAGCAGCCGCGGUAAUACGAAGGGGGCUAGCGUUGUUCGGAAUUACUGGGCGUAAAGCGCACGUAGGCGGACAUUUAAGUCAGGGGUGAAAUCCCGGGGCUCAACCUCGGAACUGCCUUUGAUACUGGGUGUCUUGGGUAUGGAAGAGGUAAGUGGAAUUGCGAGUGUAGAGGUGAAAUUCGUAGAUAUUCGCAGGAACACCAGUGGCGAAGGCGGCUUACUGGUCCAUUACUGACGCUGAGGUGCGAAAGCGUGGGGAGCAAAC